rnacentral:rRNA from 1 species
UACGGAGGUGGCAAGCGUUGCUCGGAAUCACUGGGCGUAAAGGGUGCGUAGGCGGCGCGGUAAGUCGGGUGUGAAAUCUCGGAGCUUAACUCCGAAACUGCAUUCGAUACUGCCGUGCUUGAGGACUGGAGAGGAGACUGGAAUUUACGGUGUAGCGGUGAAAUGCGUAGAUAUCGUAAGGAAGACCAGUGGCGAAGGCGGGUCUCUGGACAGUUCUUGACGCUGAGGCGCGAAAGCUAGGGGAGCAAACGGG